AAAUAUUAAUGAAAAGAUAAUGCACAGUGAGGUAGCCUCCCCUCCUCCUGCAGCUUCACUGCAUAAGGCUUUCUUCAUCCUUUCAUCCCUCCUGUCCAACCCUCUAAUAUAAGUGUUAACCGGUAUUUUUAAUGUUAAUUAUUCCAUAUUUCUUUUUUCAGAUUUUCCUCUGAAAAUGGAAAAAAAAUCAAUUUACAAGAGCAAACCCCAUCUCAAUCUCUGAGAGAGACUUAUUAAUACAGCUCAUCAGGGAUGAGAAAACUCUUGAAAACAAAAAAACGGAUGGGAAGACCAUCCUACAGAAAAGGGAGGCCUGGGCUAGAAUUACCAGGACUUUCAACUCACACAACCUUGGUUGUGUACGCUCGGAGCAUCAGCUUAAGAAAUCCUUGGCUCUGAUAUAGAGGAUAUAGGAAACCCCUAUGACCUAGAUGCCAUGCCAUCUACUGCCAAGUCACACCGACAUGGUCGGCUCAUCCGAAUUACCAAGUUUCUCUUUGGGAUUGGUAAGAAAAAUGCUUUUAUAGGAAUAAGCUAGAGACUCCAGCACCAUGG